AUAUAUCUUAACUUUUUAGUUUCGACCAUUUUUGGUCACCGAAAGCUCUACCGAACUGUAAUCUCUAACAAAUAGCAGUCGGAUUUUAUUUUCCACCUUCCGGGUGUCGGAUUGAUAUGAAACUUUAAAUCUAGCCUCAUAAAAAUAUUUCCAACAUAUUCUCCAGUUUUCAUAAUUUUCUGACACUGUACAUUUUCUGCUAAAAUAUCAGUCCCGUUCUUUACAGAAAAUUCUAAAUCUCCUAUUUCAGGUCCGAUUUCAGCACAAAUCAUUUUCAACUUCUAUUUUACUUCUCUAAGUCAAAUAAAAAUAGUAUCUCACACUAUUUUUAUUUAUAUUUAUUUUUAUAUUAAAAAUCCGGUAUAUUACAUCCCAUCGUAACUUCAUAAUUUCAGAAGUUCGGUACUUUACAUCCUCCCCUCCUUAAUAAGAGUUUCGUCCUCGAAACUCAAAUCAUUUCUUAAGUCGACUUAUCGA
rnacentral:lncRNA from 1 species